rnacentral:rRNA from 1 species
GACGAACGCUGGCGGCGUGCCUAAUACAUGCAAGUAGAACGCUGAAGGAGGAGCUUGCUUCUCUGGAUGAGUUGCGAACGGGUGAGUAACGCGUAGGUAACCUGCCUGGUAGCGGGGGAUAACUAUUGGAAACGAUAGCUAAUACCGCAUAAGAGUAGAUGUUGCAUGACAUUUGCUUAAAAGGUGCAAUUGCAUCACUACCAGAUGGACCUGCGUUGUAUUAGCUAGUUGGUGAGGUAACGGCUCACCAAGGCAACGAUACAUAGCCGACCUGAGAGGGUGAUCGGCCAAAAUGGGACUGAGACACGGCCCAGACUCAGACGGGAGGCAGCAGUAGGGAAUCUUCGGCAAUGGAAGGAAGUAUGACCGAGCAACGCAGCGUGAGGGAAGAAGGUUUUCGGAUCGUAAAGCUCGGUUGUAAGAGAAGAACGAGUGUGAGAGUGGAAAGUUCACACUGGGACGGUAUCUUAACAGAAAGGGACGGCUAACUACGUG